rnacentral:rRNA from 1 species
CCUACGGGAGGCAGCAGUGGGGAAUCUUGCGCAAUGGGCGAAAGCCUGACGCAGCAACGCCGCGUGGGGGAUGAAGGCUCUCGGGUUGUAAACCCCUUUCAGCAGGGACGAAAUUGACGGUACCUGAAGAAGAAGCCCCGGCCAACUACGUGCCAGCAGCCGCGGUGACACGUAGGGGGCGAGCGUUGUCCGGAAUUAUUGGGCGUAAAGAGCUCGUAGGCGGUUUAGUAAGUCAGAUGUGAAAGGUUGGGGCUCAACCCUAAGACUGCAUCCGAUACUGCUAUGACUAGAGUCCGGUAGAGGAGUGUGGAAUUCCUGGUGUAGCGGUGAAAUGCGCAGAUAUCAGGAGGAACACCGACGGCGAAGGCAGCACUCUGGGCCGGUACUGACGCUCAGGAGCGAAAGCGUGGGUAGCAAACAGGAUUAGAUACCCUGGUAGUCCACGCCGUAAACGUUGGGCACUAGGUGUGGGGCCUUAUCAACGGGUUCCGUGCCGUAGCUAACGCAUUAAGUGCCCCGCCUGGGGAGUACGGCCGCAAGGCUAAAACUCAAAGGAAUUGACGG